ACCAUUUUCAAGUUGGAUUUUGAAGUUUAAAAAAAAAAAAAAAAAAAAAAAUCUUUUCUUGAUUAAGGAAAUAUCAAAUAAUAAGAAUUUUUUAAAUUAAAAAAAUAAUAUAUCAUACUAUCAUACUAUUAUAUAAGUGCAUAUACUCAAGUUCCAUGGCUAAUCUUUUUUCUACUUACCAUAUUAAAAUACAUUAUCUUCUUCAUUAAUUUUUUUUUCCUUCUUUUUAAUUAUUUGAUAUUGUUGAUAUCCUUCAUAUUUUUUAAUGUUUUAAUAUAUUUAAAUAUUUUAUAAAUAAAAUCCGUAUCUUUCUAAAUUCUCUCCCGUCAAUUGCUUUCACAAUCUUAUUUAGAUUCCUUACUAAUAAAAAAAUCCUAAAAUUACUAAUUCUUAGUUUGGAUUUUCUCUCUCUUUCUUGCGUUUCCUUCCGUCCUUCCCUCUAGACUUUCCUUUUACUCUCUCCUUCUUGCUUCAAUACAAUCUCUCUCUGUCUCUCUCUCUCAACUUUCCUUUUGCUUCUAUCUCGCGGUGCAACUCUUACGCUCACCUUCUUCUUAUCUUCUUCUUCUUCUUAUUCUAUUCUUCUCCUUAAUCUCAUCUCUCAAUGCCCAAGACCCAACAAUGAAAAAUGGAGUUCUUGGGAUAUCUAUUUCACAAAGAGUCAUUUCCUUCAACCUCUGUACAUUCAAUUUCGUUUGAUGUUGAAACUCUAUAAAGACAGUAAUGAAGCAUAUUUUUUUCCUUUUAUCAGCAUUAGAUUCAACUUUCUUCUACAACCCAGAAAGAGGGGGGCAAAAACUACUGCAAUUGCCCGUGUCAUUGCUACCGGGUCCAAGGAAGUUUGGAUAUCUAUAUAAACGAGUAUUGGAUCGCUCUGUUUUGUGUAACGGAUUCUUAGCCUCGUGGAGUUUGACCAUUGGAAUGAUGAGUGCCUUUUAGGAAGUUUGGAUAUCUAUAUAAACAAGUAUAAAGUUUGAUCAAAGGUUGUAUAUUUUGUCAAUUAUGGUUCUGAGGCAAGCAAUGUUGAUGGUUCGACUAUAUACUGGGAAUCUUGGUAUGAUUUCUCUAAGAAAUGCAUAUCAUGGUGGAAGUUCUGGAACACUUGGUCCUACGGCUUUAAGUACUUGGAAGUACUCAAUACCAAAGGUUUGUGUAUCUCCUAAAGCUUCAGAUUAAUUUGUUUCCCAUCAUGAAGUCUCUGCCUCUCCAUGGAAAUUUCCUUAACCAUCUGUUGGAGUAUUGAAGGUGGAAUACUAGGUUUGUAGAUUACUUUCUUCUACCAAGAAAAUAAUUUGUGAUCAUGAACUAAUCAGUAUGAUUUUCAUUGCAUUGUGUCUUUUGAGCUUUGAUUGGACCUA